rnacentral:lncRNA from 1 species
GCGAUGCGACGGCGUCUGGUCACGGUGGCAAAUGGAUCUCGGAGAAGAACCUUAGUGGUGAAAGUUUACUGGUGAAGUUGUGAAGGUCAUAUUUCUCUAUUGUUUCUUUCUUUCUCUCCUCUUUUAUGUUGUUUCUGAUUAUUUCGUUCUUUUUUUCAAAUUGCAGAAACUGGAACCCAAAUUAAAAGCUUCAUUUUCAGGUAUCAACAUAAGAAUAUCAAUUUUUUGUAUUUUCUGUCUACAAAAAUUAUCCUGAUACUUGGAUCUGUCAUGAAAGUUGAAAUUUAUGUUUGUGCAUCCUUAGUUUUCAUCUAUCUAUACGAACAGUUGAAAUUUGUUAGAAUAUGAUGAAUGAUUUGUCUCUGUUUGAUAUGAUGUAUUAUUCUUAUGCUUUGAUCUGUCAUGAAUCUAAAGUUAGAAAGAGAUAUAUUGAGUUAUUUGUUAAGAUAAUCUAAAGUUAUAUGGGUGAACCGGUGAAAAGAGAAAAGUGGAGAUAAAAUGUUAGAGAUGCCAUACUAAUACUUUCAGCUCUUCAUGGUUCAAGAAUAGAUUCAAGUGAUUUUUAGGAGAUGCUAACAGAACUAUGAGAUGUGCAAAGGCUACUUCAACAAAGCUUUGAUUCAGGUGAGGAAGAGAAACAAGUUUAAAUGGGACACUUGCAUUUUAUCAUAGGUAAAUGUAUUUUAGUGACAUUAUUGAUUGAUGUAUGUUUUAGGGAAGAAUGUUGCUUUGAAUUGGAUUGUCUUUUUGGCCAUGUUAUAUGUUGUUUCAGUUUGGCCAUGUUACAUUUAUAAGACCUCGUGACAUGUUAUACUUAUAAGUUGUCUCCCCUGCCGUAAAUACCUCCCUUAGAUUUGAUGCCAAUGUUCAUUUUAUUUGCAGAUUGGAAUAAAGGUUUGAGAAGAAAUUUAACUUAAGUUCAUCAGUAGCUUCAGCCUACAUUGGUUAAGUUAAUUUUAUUAUCAUUGUUUUCUUUUUGGACUGUUUAAGUGUUAGCAUAUACUAAUGUCUGCUUUUGAAAUGGUUUCAGAGUGAUGUAUAAACUUUGGUAGAAUUAGAAGAAUAUGAAUGAGUUGCUUCAUUACUUGAUGAAGAGAGGAAACUGCUUAAAAUUUGUAGAACCAGAAGAGUAAUCAAGAGCUACUUCUAAUUGAUGAGAAGGAC